GACUCGGAAACACGCAAUCAGCUCACCUUUGCACGCACGCACAGACUAACCGUUCACCUUUCUGCACGCGCACCACUCCACUCCCACACACACCAGAGUCACAUGUGCUCUCACUCAAAGAGAGCUCUGCACCCACUCACCCUGACACCCACACAACCACCCACACACUCACGUGCACUGCCAAAUAGCUCUCAGCCUCUACCCCCACCACCCCCGCACAUCCACCCCUCAGCGCCACAAACGCGUUGCGCGCACACUCGUGCGCGCGGGGCUUCGCUAAGUGCGCCUGAUCUGGUUUCCUCUCCUUCUGCGUGCGACCCCGCAGUGAUAGAAUAAACACAAAUACGUGAUAAUCACAUUCCUGACAUUUCUUUUCCUGCCGGUGGGAAGUUUCAACUGGUUUUCUGUUUGGCUGCGCGUGCGUGCGCGCGCGCUGGUGUGCAAAAAAGAAGAAAAGAAAGUGAGGAAAAAAAUGGAGAAAGAAAUGAGAGAAAGGGAACAAAGCGAUCUGGGGAGAAGUCUCCCACAUUCCUCAUUGAUGCCAAUAUCCAACCAGAACACCAGACCCGCACAAAACACACACACACACACACACACACACACACGCCGCACGCGCGCAAUGCACGCGCGCGCACAGACCAGAGUUGGAAGAAAAUCUGCUGGUUUUCACUACAUCUGCGGUUUCAUUCUCCACUUUCUCUCCGCGGAUCAAUUCAUGCAACAUUUGAACCCAAGUGGAAAGUUUGGCAGAAGAGGAAAAUCCUUCCAGACUCCAUCUGCUGCUCCACAGCUCCAGCUUCUCAUCCUACCUGAACUUCAUCUCCUCUGGAAGCAGCAGCGCGGACAGCGGAGCUGUGAAGACUCCUGCUGGAUUCUGCCUGUGUACCGAACCUGGAACUGAUUCCUGACUCCGUCCUGGAUUUCCCUUCGGUAUCUCUUCGGAUCCCUGAUCUUCUGGCUCUGACUCCUGAGCACGUCAGCGUCAGUGGCUUUGGCUUCGCCCUCUGGAUUAUCCUGCCUUCCUUCAACUGCUUGGUUCUGAUCACCUGCCUGCCCUCUGACCUCCGAGACAUCAGCUUCUGGGACUCUCUUGGCCGCCGGCUGGAACCAACCUUUUCCUCUGGACACGGACUGAACUACAACACCAGAUUAGCCUUCCUUCAUCGGCUCGGCUCUGACCUCCGGGGCUUCUGAGUCCCUCUGGGCAACAACCGUUGCUUCAUGUUGGCAGCCGACCGGGUGGAACCAACCUCAUCCUCUGGUCACGGACUGAAC